rnacentral:rRNA from 1 species
CAGCAGCCGCGGUAAUACGUAGGCGGCAAGCGUUGUCCGGAAUUACUGGGCGUAAAGGGCUCGCAGGCGGUUUCUUAAGUCUGAUGUGAAAGCCCCCGGCUCAACCGGGGAGGGUCAUUGGAAACUGGGAAACUUGAGUGCAGAAGAGGAGAGUGGGAUUCCACGUGUAGCGGUGAAAUGCGUAGAGAUGUGGAGGAACACCAGUGGCGAAGGCGACUCUCUGGUCUGUAACUGACGCUGAGGAGCGAAAGCGUGGGGAGCGAACGGGAUCAGAUACCCGCGUAGUCCCUGUCUCUUAUAC